AACGAACGCUGGCGGCAUGCCUAACACAUGCAAGUCGAGCGAGACCUUCGGGUCUAGUGGCGCACGGGUGCGUAACGCGUGGGAACCUGCCCUUAGGUUCGGAAUAACUCCCCGAAAGGGGUGCUAAUACCGGAUAAUGUCUUCGGACCAAAGAUUUAUCGCCUUUGGAUGGGCCCGCGUUGGAUUAGCGAGUUGGUAGGGUAAAAGCCUACCAAGGCGACGAUCCAUAGCUGGUCUGAGAGGAUGAUCAGCCACACUGGGACUGAGACACGGCCCAGACUCCUACGGGAGGCAGCAGUGGGGAAUAUUGGACAAUGGGCGAAAGCCUGAUCCAGCAAUGCCGCGUGAGUGAUGAAGGCCUUAGGGUUGUAAAGCUCUUUUACCCGGGAUGAUAAUGACAGUACCGGGAGAAUAAGCUCCGGCUAACUCCGUG
rnacentral:rRNA from 1 species